rnacentral:rRNA from 1 species
UAGGGAAUCUUCGGCAAUGGACGGAAGUCUGACCGAGCAACGCCGCGUGAGUGAAGAAGGUUUUCGGAUCGUAAAGCUCUGUUGUAAGAGAAGAACGAGUGUGAGAGUGGAAAGUUCACACUGUGACGGUAUCUUACCAGAAAGGGACGGCUAACUACGUGCCAGCAGCCGCGGUAAUACGUAGGUCCCGAGCGUUGUCCGGAUUUAUUGGGCGUAAAGCGAGCGCAGGCGGUUAGAUAAGUCUGAAGUUAAAGGCUGUGGCUUAACCAUAGUAGGCUUUGGAAACUGUUUAACUUGAGUGCAAGAGGGGAGAGUGGAAUUCCAUGUGUAGCGGUGAAAUGCGUAGAUAUAUGGAGGAACACCGGUGGCGAAAGUGGCUCUCUGGCUUGUAACUGACGCUGAGGCUCGAAAGCGUGGGGAGCAAACAGGAUUAGAUACCCUGGUAGUCCACGCUGUAAACGAUGAGUGCUAGGUGUUAGACCCUUUCCGGGGUUUAGUGCCGUAGCUAACGCGUUAAGCACUCCGCCUGGGGAGUACGACCGCAAGGUUG